CCUACGGGUGGCAGCAGUGAGGAAUAUUGGUCAAUGGACGAGAGCCUGAACCAGCCAAGUAGUGUGAAGGAUGACUGCCCUACGGGUUGUAAACUUCUUUUAUAUGGGAAUAAAACAGGGUAUGCAUACCCUCUUGUAUGUACUUUAUGAAUAAGGAUCGGCUAACUCCGUGCCAGCAGCCGCGGUAAUACGGAGGAUCCGAGCGUUAUCCGGAUUUAUUGGGUUUAAAGGGAGCGUAGGUGGGUUGUUAAGUCAGUUGUGAAAGUUUGCGGCUCAACCGUAAAAUUGCAAUUGAUACUGGCAGCCUUGAGUACAGUAGAGGUAGGCGGAAUUCGUGGUGUAGCGGUGAAAUGCUUAGAUAUCACGAAGAACUCCGAUUGCGAAGGCAGCCCACUAAACUGCCACUGACACUGAUGCUCGAAAGUGUGGGUAUCAAACAGGAUUAGAUACCCCAGUAGUC
rnacentral:rRNA from 1 species